GCCAGGGCUUUUUUUUUUUUUUUUUUACAGUGAACAAUUUUAUGUACAUGUUAUGGACAUUGUUUGAUAUAAAACAAUAUCUACAAUCUACUUACACUUAAGCUACUAGGUCCAGUUUGUCUGUGAUUAAUUUUAACCACUGAUGAGUCAGU